rnacentral:rRNA from 1 species
AUUGAACGCUGGCGGCAGGCCUAACACAUGCAAGUCGAGCGGAUGACGGGAGCUUGCUCCUUGAUUCAGCGGCGGACGGGUGAGUAAUGCCUAGGAAUCUGCCUGGUAGUGGGGGACAACGUUUCGAAAGGAACGCUAAUACCGCAUACGUCCUACGGGAGAAAGCAGGGGACCUUCGGGCCUUGCGCUAUCAGAUGAGCCUAGGUCGGAUUAGCUAGUUGGUGGGGUAAUGGCUCACCAAGGCGACGAUCCGUAACUGGUCUGGGAGGAUGAUCAGUCACACUGGAACUGAGACACGGUCCAGACUCCUACGGGAGGCAGCAGUGGGGAAUAUUGGACAAUGGGCGAAAGCCUGAUCCAGCCAUGCCGCGUGUGUGAAGAAGGUCUUCGGAUUGUAAAGCACUUUAAGUUGGGAGGAAGGGCAGUAAGUUAAUACCUUGCUGUUUUGACGUUACCGACAGAAUAAGCACCGGCUAACUCUGUGCCAGCCGCCGCGGUAAGAC